rnacentral:rRNA from 1 species
GACGAACGCUGGCGGCGUGCUUAACACAUGCAAGUCGAGCGGUAAGGCCCUUCGGGUACGACGAGCGGCGAACGGGUGAGUAACACGUGGGUGACCUGCCCUCAGCUCUGGGAUAAGCCUGGGAAACCGGGGUACGUAAUACCGGAUAUGACUCCAUGACGCAUGUUGUGGGGUGGAAAGCCUUGUGCGGCUGAGGAUGGGCCCGCGGCCUAUCAGCUUGUUGGUGGGGU